rnacentral:rRNA from 1 species
GACGAACGCUGGUGGCGUGCUUAACACAUGCAAGUCGAACGGAAAGGCCCUGCUUGCCGGGUGCUCGAGUGGCGAACGGGUGAGUAACACGUGGGUGAUCUGCCCCUUAUUUUGGGAUAAGCCUGGGAAACUGGGUCUAAUACUGGAUAGGACCAUGCUGUAGGUGGUGUGGUGGAAAGAUUAGUUUCGGUAAGGGAUGAGCUCGCGGCCUAUCAGCUUGUUGGUGGGGUAAUGGCCUACCAAGGCGUCGACGGGUAGCCGGCCUGAGAGGGUGGACGGCCACAUUGGGACUGAGAUACGGCCCAGACUCCUACGGGAGGCAGCAGUGGGGAAUAUUGCACAAUGGGCGCAAGCCUGAUGCAGCGACGCCGCGUGGGGGAUGACGGCCUUCGGGUUGUAAACUCCUUUCAGCCAUGACGAAGCCCUUGUGGUGACGGUAGUGGUAGAAGAAGCACCGGCUAACUACGUG